CUCCUACGGGAGGCAGCAGUGGGGAAUUUUGGACAAUGGGCGAAAGCCUGAUCCAGCCAUACCGCGUGAGUGAAGAAGGCCUUCGGGUUGUAAAGCUCUUUCAGCCGGAAAGAAAUCGCACUUCUUAAUACGAAGUGUGGAUGACGGUACCGGAAGAAGAAGCACCGGCUAACUACGUGCCAGCAGCCGCGGUAAUACGUAGGGUGCGAGCGUUAAUCGGAAUUACUGGGCGUAAAGCGUGCGCAGGCGGUUUUUUAAGCCAGAUGUGAAAUCCCCGGGCUCAACCUGGGAACUGCAUUUGGAACUGGAAGACUAGAGUAUAGCAGAGGGGGGUAGAAUUCCACGUGUAGCAGUGAAAUGCGUAGAUAUGUGGAGGAAUACCAAUGGCGAAGGCAGCCCCCUGGGUUAAUACUGACGCUCAUGCACGAAAGCGUGGGGAGCAAACAGGAUUAGAUACCCUGGUAGUCCACGCCCUAAACGAUGUCAACUAGGUGUUGGGGGAGGAGACUUCCUUAGUACCGAAGCUAACGCGUGAAGUUGACCGCCUGGGGAGUACGGUCGCAAGAUUAAAACUCAAAGGAAUUGACGG
rnacentral:rRNA from 1 species